AUGAGGCAACACCUCUCUGGAUGGGCAAAACAUACCAACGGGAUUUAUAAAAAAGAAAAACAACGGCUCUCUACCAUUAUUGAUGACCUCGACAAAAUUGCAGAGACACGCAUCUUAUCUCAACAAGAGAUUGAAUUAAAAAAUCAAUCUAAUGAGAAGAUUGCCCGUCUUCUGCAAGAAGAGGAGAUCAAAUACUACCAGAGAUCCAAAGCCGAUUUAAUUUUGAUGGGUGAUAGUAAUACAAGAUACUUCCAAUUGGUCUCUAAUGGGCGACAUAGGAAGAAAUGUAUUUAUAGUCUCCAACAAGAUGAGGGGCGGAUCGAAGGUCAAGAGGAGCUCAAAAAGUAUAUCACCGACUACUACAAAUCUCUGUUCGGAGCGCCGGCUGAAGGGAAUUUCACCCUUGAUGAGACCCGAAUAGAUGACAUUCCACAAGUCACGACAGAAGAAAACGAUAUUUUGACGGCACCAUUCUCGGAAGAGGAGGUGAGAGCUGCAAUGUUCCAAAUGUAA
rnacentral:rRNA from 1 species